rnacentral:rRNA from 1 species
AACGAACGCUGGCGGCAUGCCUAACACAUGCAAGCCGAACGAGACCUUCGGGUCUAGUGGCGCACGGGUGCGUAACGCGUGGGAAUCUACCCUUGGGUUCGGAAUAACAGUUAGAAAUGACUGCUAAUACCGGAUGAUGACGUAAGUCCAAAGAUUUAUCGCCCAAGGAUGAGCCCGCGUAAGAUUAGCUUGUUGGUGGGGUAAUGGCCUACCAAGGCGACGAUCUUUAGCUGGUCUGAGAGGAUGAUCAGCAACACUGGGACUGAGACACGGCCCAGACUCCUACGGGAGGCAGCAGUGGGGAAUAUUGGACAAUGGGCGAAAGCCUGAUCCAGCAAUGCCGCGUGAGUGAUGAAGGCCUUAGGGUUGUAAAGCUCUUUUACCAGGGAUGAUAAUGACAGUACCUGGAGAAUAAGCUCCGGCUAACUCCGUGCCAGCAGCCGCGGUAA